GAUGAACGCUGGCGGCGUGCCUAAUACAUGCAAGUCGAGCGAACGGACGAGAAGCUUGCUUCUCUGAUGUUAGCGGCGGACGGGUGAGUAACACGUGGAUAACCUACCUAUAAGACUGGGAUAACUUCGGGAAACCGUAGCUAAUACCGGAUAAUAUUUUGAACCGCAUGGUUCAAAAGUGAAAGACGGUCUUGCUGUCACUUAUAGAUGGAUCCGCGCUGCAUUAGCUAGUUUGUAAGGUAACGGCUUACCAAGGCAACGAUGCAUAGCCGACCUGAGAGAGUGAUCGGCCACACUGGAACUGAGACACGGUCCAGACUCCUACGGGAGGCAGCAGUAGGGAAUCUUCCGCAAUGGGCGAAAGCAUGACGGAGCAACGCCGCGUGAGUGAUGAAGGUCUUCGGAUCGUAAAACUCUGUUAUUAGGGAAGAACAUAUGUGUAAGUAACUGUGCACAUCUUGACGGUACCUAAUCAGAAAGCAACGGCUAACUACGUG
rnacentral:rRNA from 1 species